rnacentral:rRNA from 1 species
CCUACGGGAGGCAGCAGUGGGGAAUAUUGCACAAUGGGCGAAAGCCUGAUGCAGCGACGCCGCGUGAGGGAUGACGGCCUUCGGGUUGUAAACCUCUUUCAGCAGGGAAGAAGCGAAAGUGACGGUACCUGCAGAAGAAGCGCCGGCUAACUACGUGCCAGCAGCCGCGGUAAUACGUAGGGCGCAAGCGUUGUCCGGAAUUAUUGGGCGUAAAGAGCUCGUAGGCGGCUUGUCACGUCGGAUGUGAAAGCCCGGGGCUUAACCCCGGGUCUGCAUUCGAUACGGGCUAGCUAGAGUGUGGUAGGGGAGAUCGGAAUUCCUGGUGUAGCGGUGAAAUGCGCAGAUAUCAGGAGGAACACCGGUGGCGAAGGCGGAUCUCUGGGCCAUUACUGACGCUGAGGAGCGAAAGCGUGGGGAGCGAACAGGAUUAGAUACCCUGGUAGUCCACGCCGUAAACGUUGGGAACUAGGUGUUGGCGACAUUCCACGUCGUCGGUGCCGCAGCUAACGCAUUAAGUUCCCCGCCUGGGGAGUACGGCCGCAAGGCUAAACUUAAAUGAAUUGACGG